rnacentral:rRNA from 1 species
CCUACGGGACGCAGCAGUGGGGAAUAUUGCACAAUGGGCGCAAGCCUGAUGCAGCCAUGCCGCGUGUAUGAAGAAGGCCUUAGGGUUGUAAAGUACUUUCAGUUGGGAGGAAGGCGUUGAUGCUAAUAUCAUCAACGAUUGACGUUACCAACAGAAGAAGCACCGGCUAACUCCGUGCCAGCAGCCGCGGUAAUACAGAGGGUGCAAGCGUUAAUCGGAAUUACUGGGCGUAAAGCGCACGCAGGCGGUUGAUUAAGUUUGAUGUGAAAUCCCCGGGCUUAACUUGGGAAUGGCAUCUGAGACUGGUCAGCUAGAGUCUUGUAGAGGGGGGUAGAAUUCCAUGUGUAGCGGUGAAAUGCGUAGAGAUGUAGAGGAAUACCGGUGGCGAAGGCGGCCCCCUGGACAAAGACUGACGCUCAGGUGCGAAAGCGUGGGGAGCAAACAGGAUUAGAUACCCCGGUAGUC